rnacentral:rRNA from 1 species
AUUGAACGCUGGCGGCAUGCCUUACAUAUGCAAGUCGAACGGUAACUCGGGGCAACCUGGCGACGAGUGGCGAACGGGUGAGUAAUGCAUCGGAACGUGCCCAGUAGAGGGGGAUAGCACGGCGAAACCCGGGUUAAUACCGCAUACGACCUCCGGGGGAAAGGGGGGGAUCGCAAGACAUCUGGCUAUUGUAGCGGCUGAUUGCAGAUUAGGUAGUUGGUGGGGUAAAGGGCUACCAAGCCGACGAUCUGUAGCUGGUCUGAGAGCACGACCGGACACACUGGGACUGAGACACGGCCCAGACUCCUACGGGAGGCAGGAGUGGGGAAUUUUGGACAAUGGGCGCAAGCCUGAUCCAGCCAUGCCGCGUGCGGGAAGAAGGCCUUCGGGUUGUAAACCGCUUUUGUCAGGGAAGAAAUCUUCUGGGUUAAUACCUCGGGAGGAUGACGGUACCUGAAGAAUAAGCACCGGCUAACUACGUGCCAGCCGCCGCGGUAAGAC